rnacentral:lncRNA from 1 species
UCCCCUACUUACCUAUCCAGCUUGCGUAUGGCGGAAAAUACCCGCAUACACGCACCUCAAUCGUCUGACGCACCAUGCGAUGUCAAUCAACACACGCGCUGUGCCGCCUGCUAUAGAUUGCACAGAAAUGAGGCUUGAGAUUCAUUGCAGCUAUAUGCUGGCAGGUAUGAAUUACAUGCAAAUCAAGCUCCUGUUGGUCCGAGCGCCUUGUUUCCCUUGAUUACAUAUCGUGCGCUUGGUUGCGCCGCGCACGUCAUAAGCUAGCCUAUGUAAAAAGCUGUAUAUCGACAUUACAGAGCGGGUGUGUAUGAUAUUACAACGUGGUGAAAGCUGGGAAUGUCGGGCAGGACUUCCUCUGGCUUUCUCGCUCUGGAAGUCGAAAAGUGUCGAAUGUAGUCGAUCCGCAAAACCGAGGUCAGAACGUGCUUUGUUGCAUAAUAUUAUUGGUUCUUUUUUUGUAUUGUUGAUUUUCAAUUUUCGUUUGCAGUCGUGCAGCUGUUUUAGCGGUCUACGGUAUGAGGCUCCGUUCGUCCGAGCCCGUCCAAGUUUCUCGCGAAACUACACUCGGAAAUCGCUUUAUAGCUUUGUAACAAUGUCCCG